rnacentral:rRNA from 1 species
UCCCAGACUCCUACGGGAGGCAGCAGUCGGGAAUAUUGCGCAAUGGAGGAAACUCUGACGCAGUGACGCCGCGUGCAGGAAGAAGGUUUUCGGAUUGUAAACUGCUUUAGAUAGGGAAGAAAAAAAUGACAGUACCUAUAGAAUAAGCUCCGGCUAACUACGUGCCAGCAGCCGCGGUAAUACGUAGGGAGCGAGCGUUAUCCGGAUUUAUUGGGUGUAAAGGGUGCGUAGAUGGAUAAACAAGUUGGUUGUGAAAUCCCUCGGCUUAACUGAGGAAUUGCAACCAAAACUGUAUAUCUUGAGUACUGGAGGGGAAAGCGGAAUUCCUAGUGUAGCGGUGAAAUGCGUAGAUAUCACGAAGAACUCCGAUUGCGAAGGCAGCCUACUAAACUGCCACUGACAUUGAUGCUCGAAAGUGUGGGUAUCAAACAGGAUUAGAUACCCGUGUACA